CCUACGGGUGGCUGCAGUGGGGAAUAUUGGGCAAUGGGGGAAACCCUGACCCAGCGACGCCGCGUGAGGGAAGAAGGCCUUAGGGUCGUAAACCUCUGUUGUGUGGGAAGAAGAGCGUGACGGUACCACACGAGGAAGUCCCGGCUAACUACGUGCCAGCAGCCGCGGUAAUACGUAGGGGACGAGCGUUGUCCGGAUUUACUGGGCGUAAAGGGCGCGUAGGCGGUCAUUUAAGUCAGCUGUGAAAUGGUUUGGCUUAACCGGAUCAUGCGGUUGAAACUGGAUGACUGGAGUGCUGGAGAGGCAAGUGGAAUUCCCAGUGUAGCGGUGAAAUGCGUAGAUAUUGGGAAGAACACCGGUGGCGAAGGCGACUUGCUGGCCUGCAACUGACGCUGAGGCGCGAAAGCCAGGGGAGCAAACGGGAUUAGAUACCCCGGUAGUC
rnacentral:rRNA from 1 species